rnacentral:rRNA from 1 species
UCGGGAAUUUUGCGCAAUGGACGAAAGUCUGACGCAGCAACGCCGCGUGAGGGAUGACGGCCUUCGGGUUGUAAACCUCUUUUGUCAGGGACGAUGAUGACGGUACCUGACGAAUAAGCCAUGGCUAACUACGUGCCAGCAGCCGCGGUAAUACGUAGGUGGCAAGCGUUGUCCGGAUUUACUGGGCGUAAAGAGCGCGCAGGCGGUCGAUUUAGUCGCGUGUGAAAGCCCCCGGCUCAACUGGGGAGGGUCACGCGAUACUGAUCGACUCGAAGGCAGGAGAGGGUAGUGGAAUUCCCGGUGUAGUGGUGAAAUGCGUAGAUAUCGGGAGGAACACCAGUGGCGAAGGCGACUACCUGGCCUGUUCUUGACGCUGAGGCGCGAAAGCUAGGGGAGCAAACGGG